rfam:Oceanobacter sp. HI0075 HI0075_c61, whole genome shotgun sequence.
GGAGUCGGCCAGACAGUCGCUGCCUGCGCAAGCAGGGGGAGGAAAGUCCGGGCUUCAUAGGGCAAGGUGCCAGGUAACGCCUGGGGGGCGUGAGCCCACGACCAGUGCAGCAGAGAGUAAACCGCCGAUGGCCGCUUUUGCGGAUCAGGUAAGGGUGAAAGGGUGCGGUAAGAGCGCACCGCGCGUCUGGUAACAGUUCGUGGCACGGUAAACUCCACCCGAAGCAAGACCAAAUAGGUUCCCUGUUACCCUUGAGGUACAAGGCGUGGCCCACGCUGGGAACGGGUAGGUCGCUUGAGCCUGCGAGUGAUUGCAGGCCUAGACGAAUGACUGUUUAACACAGAACCCGGCUUAUAGGCCGACUCCACUC